GGAGGGUGCAAGCGUUAUCCGGAUUCACUGGGUUUAAAGGGUGCGUAGGUGGGUUGGUAAGUCAGUGGUGAAAUCCCCGAGCUUAACUUGGGAACUGCCAUUGAUACUAUCAGUCUUGAAUACCGUGGAGGUCAGCGGAAUAUGUCAUGUAGCGGUGAAAUGCUUAGAUAUGACAUAGAACAUCAAUUGCGAAGGCAGCUGGCUACACGAAUAUUGACACUGAGGCACGAAAGCGUGGGGAUCAAACAGGAUUAGAUACCCUGGUAGUCCACGCCCUAAACUAUGGAUACUCGACAUUUGCGAUACACUGUAAGUGUCUGAGCGAAAGCAUUAAGUAUCCCACCUGGGAAGUACGAUCGCAAGAUUGAA
rnacentral:rRNA from 1 species